rnacentral:rRNA from 1 species
UCGAGAAUUUUUGACAAUGGGGGAAACCCUGAUCGAGCGACGCCGCGUGGAGGAUGAAGGUCUUCGGGUUGUAAACUCCUGUCAUUUGGGAACAAGCCGCUUACGUUAACUGCGUGAGCGUUGAUAGUACCAGAAGAGGAAGGGACGGCUAACUCUGUGCCAGCAGCCGCGGUAAUACAGAGGUCCCAAGCGUUGUUCGGAUUCAUUGGGCGUAAAGGGUGUGUAGGCGGCGCCGUAAGUCAGGUGUGAAAUUUCGAGGCUUAACCUCGAAACUGCAUUUGAUACUGCGGUGCUUGAGGACUGGAGAGGAGACUGGAAUUUACGGUGUAGCGGUGAAAUGCGUAGAUAUCGUAAGGAAGACCAGUGGCGAAGGCGGGUCUCUGGACAGUUCCUGACGCUGAGACACGAAGGCCAGGGGAGCAAACGGGAUUAGAUACCCCCGUAGUCC